UGCAAGUCGAACGGUGAUGAGGAGCUUGCUUCUCUGAUCAGUGGCGAACGGGUGAGUAACACGUGAGCAAUCUGCCCUUGACUCUGGGAUAACUGCGGGAAACUGUAGCUAAUACCGGAUACGACCUGAAGAGGCAUCUUUUUGGGUGGAAAGAAUUUUGGUCAAGGAUGAGCUCGCGGCCUAUCAGCUUGUUGGUGAGGUAAUGGCUCACCAAGGCGACGACGGGUAGCCGGCCUGAGAGGGUGACCGGCCACACUGGGACUGAGACACGGCCCAAACUCCUACGGGAGGCAGCAGUGGGGAAUAUUGCACAAUGGGCGCAAGCCUGAUGCAGCAACGCCGCGUGAGGGACGAAGGCCUUCGGGUUGUAAACCUCUUUUAGUAGGGAAGAAGCGACUGGGUUUUCCUGGGAGUGACGGUACCUGCAAAAAAAGCACCGGCUAACUACGUGCCAGCAGCCGCGGUAAUACGUAGGGUGCAAGCGUUGUCCGGAAUUAUUGGGCGUAAAGAGCUCGUAGGCGGUUUGUCGCGUCUGCUGUGAAAACCCGAGGCUCAACCUCGGGCCUGCAGUGGGUACGGGCAGACUAGAGUGCGGUAGGGGAGAUUGGAAUUCCUGGUGUAGCGGUGGAAUGCGCAGAUAUCAGGAGGAACACCAAUGGC
rnacentral:rRNA from 1 species